rnacentral:rRNA from 1 species
UACGUAGGGUGCGAGCGUUAAUCGGAAUUACUGGGCGUAAAGCGUGCGUAGGCGGUUCGUUAUGUCUGCUGUGAAAGCCCCGGGCUUAACCUGGGGAUGGCAGUGGAAACUGGCGGGCUUGAGUGUGGCAGAGGGGGGUGGAAUUCCGCGUGUAGCAGUGAAAUGCGUAGAGAUGCGGAGGAACACCGAUGGCGAAGGCAGCCCCCUGGGCUGACACUGACGCUGAGGCACGAAAGCGUGGGGAGCAAACAGG